ACGCUGGCGGCGUGCCUAAUACAUGCAAGUCGAGCGAAGUUUUUCUGGUGCUUGCACCGGAAAAACUUAGCGGCGAACGGGUGAGUAACACGUAAAGAACCUGCCUCAUAGACUGGGACAACUAUUGGAAACGUCAGCUAAUACCGGAUAAUAGCAUUAACUGCAUGGUUGAUGUUUAAAAGUUGGUUUUGCUAACACUAUGAGAUGGCUUUGCGGCGCAUUAGCUAGUUGGUGGGGUAAAGGCCUACCAAGGCGACGAUGCAUAGCCGACCUGAGAGGGUGAUCGGCCACACUGGGACUGAGACACGGCCCAGACUCCUACGGGAGGCAGCAGUAGGGAAUCUUCCGCAAUGGGCGAAAGCCUGACGGAGCAACGCCGCGUGAGUGAAGAAGGAUUUCGGUUCGUAAAGCUCUGUUGUUAGGGAAGAAUGAUUGUGUAGUAACUAUACACAGUAGAGACGGUACCUAACCAGAAAGCCACGGCUAACUACGUGCCAGCAGCCGCGGUAAUACGUAGGUGGCAAGCGUUGUCCGGAAUUAUUGGGCGUAAAGCGCGCGCAGGUGGUUUAAUAAGUCUGAUGUGAAAGCCCACGGCUCAACCGUGGAGGGUCAUUGGAAACUGUUAAACUUGAGUGCAGGAGAGAAAAGUGGAAUUCCUAGUGUAGCGGUGAAAUGCGUAGAGAUUAGGAGGAACACCAGUGGCGAAGGCGGCUUUUUGGCCUGUAACUGACACUGAGGCGCGAAAGCGUGGGGAGCAAACAGGAUUAGAUACCCUGGUAGUCCACGCCGUAAACGAUGAGUGCUAAGUGUUGGUCUCAUAAGAGAUCAGUGCUGCAGCUAACGCAUUAAGCACUCCGCCUGGGGAGUACGACCGCAAGGUUGAAACUCAAAGGAAUUGACGGGGACCCG
rnacentral:rRNA from 1 species